rnacentral:lncRNA from 1 species
AACAAUAAAAUUGCUUUUGGAAAAUGGUAGAAUUUUAUUAUUAAAAGAUGUCAGAUUUGUUCUUGAAUUAAAAAGAAACCUUGUGUCUCUAGGAAUGUUGGAUGACAUGGAGUUUGACAUAAAAUUGGGUCAAGGACACAUAAAAAUCUUUAGGAGUAGUGAUUUGAUCACUUCUAUCCCAAAGAGACAUGGUUUAUACUUUCUAAAUGCAAAACCUUUAUUGGGUCUUUCAGCA